AACCAGCUCUUCGAGUGGUCGGGACGUAUAUUGGGUCUAAAGCGCUCGUAGCCGGACAAGUAGGUUCCUGGUUAAACCCGACAGCAUAACUGUUGGCUCGCUAGGAAUACCGCUAGUCUUGGAAGCGGGAGAGGACAGAGGUAGUCAUGGGGCAGGGGUGAAAUCCAGUGAUCCCAUGGCGACCACCGAUGGCGAAGGCAUCUGUCUGGAACGUAUUCGACGGUGAGGGGCGAAAGCUAGGGGAGCGACCCGGAUUAGAUACCCCCGUA
rnacentral:rRNA from 1 species